AUGAGCACGUACGCGGACCACACAUCAAUGGCAGGAGGAGGAGGAGGACUUGUGGUGCGUGUGUGGAAAGAAUGGGGGAUCCAGAUCUUGGUUGUCGCCAGCUUCCUGCUUCAGCUCAUCCUACUCGUCUUCGGCGGGUUCCGGCGGCGCAGCUCCUCUGCCGUGCUGCUGGCCUUCCUCUGGCUGUCGUACCUGAUGGCCGAUAACAUGGCGGUAUAUGCCCUUGGGCACAUGUCCCUUGAAAGCAGGCCGGGGGAUGACGGGCUCGUCGCGUUCUGGGCAACCUUCUUUCUGCUCCACCUCGGUGGCCAGGACACCAUCACUGCCUUCUCCCUAGAGGACAACCAGCUAUGGAGGCGCCACCUCCUGACUCUCCUAGUGCAGGCAUCAGGAGCCGGCUACGCCAUCUACCGGUACAUCAUACCCGGUACCUGGAACUUGGUCUCGGCCACCAUAGUGAUGUUCAUAGUGGGUUUUCUCAAGUACGGGGAGAGGGUGUGGGCUCUCCAAAGAGGCAGCAAUGGCAAUUUUGCUUUGUUGAAAGUUUACAGCAAAACUUCUGAAGAACGGGCUUACAUCUUGAAGACCAGAGCUAAGAUGGAUAGAGAGGAGGAGAUCCUAUUCGACGCUCAUUACAUGUUCCAUUUUUGUAUGGGUGCAUUUAUCAACGUCAGCCUGGAAAGGUGGUCCACCGACGCUGUUCUCAGUUAUUUAGACCCCGUUCUGCCUCUGCCUUAUAAAUUCAACAUGGACAUGUAUGACUUGGUCGAGGCGGAGCUCUCCCUUCUGUACGACCUGUUUUACACUAAGGCGCAAGUGGUUCACAGUUGGCCAGGCUACCUGAUCCGUGCCAUCUCACUGCUUGGCACGGUGAGCGCAUUCUUGUUGUUCCGUCUCGACGACGGUAAAGGUGCUCACAGCAGAGUAGAUGUCUCCAUCAGUUACAUGCUAUUGGUUGGGGCCAUCGUUCUGGAAACCACAUCAGUGUUUGCAAUUGUAGGAUCAACAUGGACGUGCGGCUACUUGCACUGUCAGGGAUGGAACAAAACUAAUGCUAUGGUUUUGUGCAUUCGGCGACUUAUCCAAGUGGGAAGCCAAAGAAAAUGGUUGCACUCCAUCGGGCAACAUAAUGUGUUGGAUUACUGCACCCGUAACCAAACCAAUUGGAUGAACAGGAUUGUAGAGGCAACUGCACUUAAAAAGUGGCGGAGAAAGGUCAAGUUCUCAGCCAAUACAAAGAUCACCAUGGAGUUCAAGGAACUAGUGUUGGGACAGGUACGGAGAACAAUGACUCGUUAUUCUAAGACAUGGAGUAUCCUGGAUGCACCGGGAAAAUGUGUGCUAACGGAAUACAGGCUCUUGGAUGAUAUGGGCUUUUCUAUCAAGGACAGGGAUUUCGCCCAUUGCAUUCUCAUCUGGCAAGUAGCAACUGACAUUUACCUUUGCUGUCGUGAUGACAACCAGCAUCAAAGUAGGUGCCUCAACGCUGAAGAGGACGAUAAAGUUCUUGUAGAUGCAAUAAAGGUAUUAUCUAAGUACAUGGGUUUUCUAAUGAUACACCCAAGCUUACUGCCCGGCGGAGUUCCAAGCGAUUCUACCAUCAAUAAUUUGGAGAAUCUGUGGAAGGACAGCAAAUGUUCUACUAGCAGUGAGUUUGCUAGGACAUUACUUGCCGAUGAGAAUGAGGAUCCUAGGUUGAAGCCCUACUCGCCUCUAGCUGCUAAGCUGCUUGGAAACAAAAGGAAGCCCAUGCUGCAAGUCAUCUUCGGGGUGUGGGUGGAGUUCCUGUGCUAUGCAGCCUACCAUGGCACCGGUGUUUCCCACUGUACACAGCUUGGCAGGGGCGGUGAGUUCCUCUCCGUUAUCCGCCUCGUCAUACAUCACAUCCAGCUAUUUCGUCACAAGUAUAGUGAGAGGCUUCCAAGCGACCGCUGA
rnacentral:rRNA from 1 species